UACGGGGGGAGCAAGCGUUGUUCGGAUUUACUGGGCGUAAAGGGCGCGUAGGCGGUCGUGACAAGUCACUUGUGAAAUCUCCGGGCUUAACUCGGAACGGUCAAGUGAUACUGUCGGACUAGAGUACAGAAGGGGCAACUGGAAUUCUCGGUGUAGCGGUGAAAUGCGUAGAUAUCGAGAGGAACACCUGCGGCGAAGGCGGGUCUCUGGGCCGUAACUGACGCUGAGGAGCGAAAGCAUGGGGAGCGAACAGG
rnacentral:rRNA from 1 species